UUCAGACCUCUGGCUCCUACCCAGUUUCUCAAAGGAAACAGAUGGAUCAUCUGCCUAAAAUGAAAGAGAAUCUAGUGAAAACGGUGAGAUGUAAUUAAGUGAAUCAGAAGACAAUGAAUGCCAUGAGAAGACCAGUAAAAAAGAUUUCAAGAUCAAACCGUCUUUCAAAACUCAAUCUGUGAUUCCUGAACUGGAUAGUUUAGUAUUUCUUCCUUUUUUUCAUUUUAAUAUUUAACUUGUGAAGUUAAUGUUUCACAUACUUUUCAGGGAAUGAAAUAGAUAAGAAAGAGCUAUCAAUCUUAUCUUUAGAUUUUCUUCUAGAAGUUUGUUCUUUUGUCUGUAUGAAAGUAAUUUUCUCAAGUGACCAUAAACCAUCUAAUAGUAUUCUUGUGAUUUUUAAAAUAUCCUAGUAAGCUUUAAGGUUGCCAUCAUUACACUUGCUUUUAAUGAUAUACUCAUCAUCUGUUCUGAUAGUAACAUUGCUAUUUUAUUUGGAUUCUAGUUAGCUGUUAGCUAAAACUGUGAGUUCAUCAGAACUUUUUUGCUAUUUUAGGCUAUAUCAUGUUCAGCUUUUUAAAACUCAAGGUUUAAACAAAGCUGGAAAUCAAAUACAUUUUAAACUUUGAUUUGAACUAUCAUGGUGUUGUGGAAAUAGCCUUCAGUCAGGAAUCAGCUGGGGUAUAGUUCCCAUCCUGCUAUGAACUUAAGAGAUCUGGGAUUGUUUUCUUACUGUCACCUAUGUCUGGAAGAUACAUAUGAUUUAUUCCUCCUGCUUAAUAAGUUAAAUUAUUGGACUUGACAGAAAUCACUCAGAGGUAAGUAUAGUUUCUGGUAUUCUUACCUUAUAUCUGGUACCAAACCCUAAAUUAUAUUCAGUAUCACCAAUAAUGGAUGCCAAAUGCUUUUCUCUAACUAUUCAUAGAUAUUCACUUUCUUUACAUUAGAAUACAUACAUUUCAUAUAGACAAAUAAUUAUUCUGUGUGACUUUAAAAAGUAAUGCAGAGAAACAAAGUAACUUCCUGUAAAUUAUUCCAAAUAGAAACCAUUUGGGAAUAUUUUCACCGGUGUUUAAGCUAGCUACAGAUAUAUCAGGUACCAUGACUCAUUUUAUUCAAUAAUUACUAGAUACUACAUUUUUAUUUAUUUACUUCUGUAUGCACUAUUUCUAAAAAGGAUUGUGUUACCUUUUACUAAAUACAGAGAUAUAUCUAUAAAUUGAACAAGACCCAUAAGAUGAAAGAUAAAAAUAAAAGUUAGUUUUGCUAGAUUCCCAACUAAGAAAAAGCUCUAUUUUAAGCUUCCUAGUAAUCAGCACAAAGAAAGAGUGAAUUACACACCUCUCUUUUUUUUUUAAUGGAAGGGAUAUACAAGUCAAGAAAAAGUUAUACUUAAUUCUGAGCUCUGAAGAUAAUUUGUCAUGUGAAGCUUUAUACAAGUUGCAUUUACUGAAAUAAUCAGUAUAAAAUUUAUACUUUGGGGUCUUUAUUUUAUUGAAUAUGAAGUAUGUAUUAAUAUCAUUAUUGAUGUUUUUUUGAAGCGUUUACAAUUCCUGAAGCAAAAUAUCAGUAAACAAUGUUUAUUUCAAAAGUUUUAGCACCUAUAAAUGUAUUACAAAAUGUUAAAAAGUACCAUUUAUUUAAAAAAUGUUGCUGUAAGUAAAAAGAUAUAAUGAGUAAUAAUGAGGAUGUGGAGAAAUUGGAACUGUCACACACUGGCCAAGUGUUCACAGUACUCAAGUCUAGAGUGGAAAUAGAACAAGAGUACGAGAAGUGUUCUUUUAAGGCAUUAAAAAAUUUACAUCCCCUCGUGGGGAUGUAAAACUGCACCACUGCUCUGAAAACAGUCUGUCAGUUCCUCAGAAGGUUAAACAUAGAGUUACCAUGUCACCCAGCAUUUCUACUCUUCCGGAUACACCCCAGAGAAAUGAAAACCAAUGCACAUAAAAAUGUGUAUACAAGUAUUUAUAGCACUAUUCUACAUAAUAGCUAAAACGUAGAAACAACCCAAAUAUCCAUCAGCUGAUGAAUGAGUAAAUAAAUUCUGGUAUAUCCAAAUAAUGGAAUAGUAUUCAGCAGUAAAAAGAAUGAAGUACAGCAUGGAUGGACCUUGAAGACAUUAUCCUGAGUGAACAAAGCCAGUCACAAGAGAUCACAUAUUAUAUAAUUCCAUUUAUAUGAAAUGUCCAGAAUAGACAAAUCUAUAUGGACAGAAAGUAGA